rnacentral:lncRNA from 1 species
AUCGCAGAUGCUCGGAGUGCUGGUGUGAUCCACUUCAAUGGCCGAGCAAAACCUUGGCUUGAUAUAGCGUUCCCUCAACUUCGAUCCCUGUGGACAAAAUACGUCAACUUCUCCGAUAAAUUUAUCACAACCUGUCAUAUAAGAGCUACUUAAAAUGAGGCAAGGGAUUUGUUAACCAUGUUGCUUGUAAUCAAGAAACAAAAUUUUGAGAGAGGUGAACCAUGUAUAGAAGGUCUCGCCACUCCCUGACGCGAGAUUGGCAACAGCUCCCGAGCUUAACAUUCUUGAACUCCUCAAAUCUACUAUGAUUUCUGGUUCAGCCAAUGUAUUUUAUACUGCAGUUACAAAUUAUACAAUGUACAUGGUGGAUUUUUCACCAAAAUUAUACCUGCAAUGACAAUAAAAAAGGAUACUCCUCCAAUGUAAUUUAUCUGGCGUAGUUCGACUGUAGAAGAAUGUCAUUAAGGGUAGAAUAGGAAGAUUGACAUAUAAUUGUUUUCAAAAUAUAGAAAGAUGUUAUUCUUUUCAGAAAAGACGAAUUAGGAAAUAAUGCCACAUAAAUCGAACGAAGGGAGUCUCGGCUCCCAUUCCAUGCUAAUUGAUAUGUAUGGAACUAACAACAACAUACCCAGUGUAACCCCACAGGUGGGCUCUAUGGAGGGUGGUGCGUUUGCAGCCUUAUCCUUACCUUGUGAAGGUAGAGACGCUGUUUACAAUAGACCGUCGGCUCGAGUAGAGUAUGAAAGGAACUAAGGAUCCUAAAGGAGAAUAAAUUACCAAAUAGACAAAAGGAAAGAACGAGUGCAGAGAAUGAACCUCACCCGCCCUUCUACCCUUCUCCACUUAAAUACUAGGCUUUUGUUUGUGAUAGGCUCGACUCCCUGAAUGACAGUGAUGAGCACUUAAU